UGGGGAAUAUUGCACAAUGGGCGAAAGCCUGAUGCAGCAACGCCGCGUGAGGGACGACGGCCUCGGGUUGUAAACCUCUUUUAGCAAGGAAGAAGCGAAACGUGACGGNACUUGCAGAAAAAGCGACCGGCUAACUACGUGCCAGCAGCCGCGGUAAUACGUAGGGCGCAAGCGUUAUCCGGAAUUAUUGGGCGUAAAGAGCUCGUAGGCGGUUUGUCGCGUCUGCUGUGAAAACCCCGAGGCUCAACCUCGGGCCUGCAGUGGGUACGGGCAGACUAGAGUGCGGUAGGGGAGAUUGGAACUCCUGGUGUAGCGGUGGAAUGCGCAGAUAUCAGGAAGAACACCGAUGGCGAAGGCAGAUCUCUGGGCCCGUAACUGACGCUGAGGAGCG
rnacentral:rRNA from 1 species